CCUCUAGCUUAAAUAAAGGCUGCAGCAAGCCCUGAAUGGACACUACACAGAAAGGACAAGAGAUGCACAGCCCACCUGCAUGUGCACUCUACGUUGGAUCCAGAGAAAAUGUUACUACUACCUAAAACUGAUCUCCAGAUAUUCCAGGCCUAAAGAAGCCAUGACAGCCUUGCCAACAAGAAUCUGCAGAGGUUGUUCUUCCUUCCAGUUAACCUCACUACUGCAGGGUAUUUUUUAUUCGUAAAGGAACACUGGAAGGCAAUCUAGGCCCAACAUCCUCCCUGGUCUGCAGAUACAAUCCCGUGCCAUCGAACCAUUGCUGGGGGACAGAGGGCAGCCGUUGUGGAAAAAGGAGGAUCUGAGGUUUCUUAAAAGCAGAUAGCCUGAAGGGCUGUGGAAAGACAAAGCAGCACCAAGAACUUGUAGUAAUCAGCAGGAUUUGUCCAGAUUCUCCAUGCCUUGCUCAGUUUUCUGAAAUCUCCCGAAGAACCAGAUGAAGAACCCAAACAAAGCAAAAGCCAG